rnacentral:rRNA from 1 species
GACGAACGCUGGCGGCGUGCUUAACACAUGCAAGUCGAACGGAAAGGCCCUGCUUUUGUGGGUGCUCGAGUGGGGAACGGGUGAGUAACACGUGAGUAACCUUCCCUUGACUUUGGGAUAACUUCAGGGAACUGGGGCUAAUACCGGGUAGGAGCUCCUGCUGGAUGGUGGGGGUUGGAAAGUUUCGGCGGUUGGGGAUGGACUCGCGGCUUAUCAGCUUGUUGGUGGGGUAGUGGCUUACCAAGGCUUUGACGGGUAGCCGGCCUGAGAGGGUGACCGGCCACAUUGGGACUGAGAUACGGCCCAGACUCCUACGGGAGGCAGCAGUGGGGAAUAUUGCACAAUGGGCGGAAGCCUGAUGCAGCAACGCCGCGUGCGGGAUGACGGCCUUCGGGUUGUAAACCGCUUUCGCCUGUGACGAAGCGUGAGUGACGGUAAUGGGUAAAGAAGCACCGGCUAACUACGUG